CCCAGCAUGCCUUUCUAUGCAAACCAAUAUGGCGGCAGGGAAAACACGUUGUGAUUAUAUGAAGCACUCUCCGUGUUAUGGCCAGUAGUUUUAAGGUGACAGUGACUACUAUCAUUGAAGACCAGAAGUGGAAAGCAAGUUGCAAUAGCUGUUUUCAAGAUGAUGAUCUGAAAACUGUGGACAAACAGUGGGUGACCAGUUGCACUGCAGCAAUGUCUUCUGAUGUGACAUGAAUUUGGCCUCCAUCAAAGUGACCAUUGUCCAUUCCAGGUCAAAAUGUAGGGCUGCUGACCAAUGUGGACAAAUAAAACCUUGACCUGACCCAGAUGAAAAGAUUUGGUCUGUGUUAUCUAAAUGCUUGCAUUUAAGCACAUCUCAAGAUGAGGAACCAUCCAAGAUUGAUAUAAGAUAAUAAAAAUUGCCAUGCAAUUAAGUGAGAAAUGAAUCAACGAGAAGAAAUUCAACAAAGUAACAUAAACCACAAAUAGACAAGGAACAUUGCAAAUUAUUUUCGUGUUGCAAUGUUUUAUAGAAAGUUGUAAGAAUGUUGACAAUGUUUGUCAUUUGAGCACCCUGUAGUGUAGGAAUAGAGAGUGUUACCCACAGUGAGUUGAUAAGUUUGGAUGGGGGUGUUUAACUGAUGGAUAUCAUAAAGAAUCUUGGACAAGAUCCAGCAUCUUGUGGAAUCUCAAAUUUCUCCCCUUGUAUUAGGCCUUUUGUUCUACCAGCAUUUCUUUCAAAAAGAGGGAGAGGAUUAUCUAGAUUUUAUCACAGAUAUAUCUCCCUGGAAUAAUUUGUAUCUCUGACACUCAGGUUUGUUGGAAGGAAUGGCGGAGGAGAGACCAGCAUCUGUACCAUGGUAUUUUUGUGGAUCUUAAAGCUGGUCGGUAUAAUGAACAUUGUGAAGUUGGACUGGCAUCUGAUAGUGACACAGUGUUAAGAUUCUACAGACUCUAUCCCUGUCUUAUGAAUCUUACAAAGCCCAAAAUUUAUCAGACACACGAAUAAUUUCAUUACGCACAUGUUAAUUGUUACUUAAUGUGUAUUAGUAUCUAUGUACAUUAACGAAUAAAUGUGGAGUUACCACAGCAGGCUUCACUCAAUAAAUGUGUAUACAUUUCCAUUAAAUCUCUGAUUGUUUUAUUCCA